ACUUCGACCUGCUGCCGGACAACGCCAACGCCCGCGGCGAGGACAUCGUGGACUACCUGCGCAAGUUCGCGGGCCACGCUCGGCGCAAUGACCGUGCUGUGGGACGGCAGCCGCAUCCACGACCGCUCGCGUGCCGUGCAGGCGUACCUGGCCGAACAUCCCGACAUCCGCACCGAGCGGUUGCCGGCCUACGCUCCGGAGUUGAACCCCGACGAACUGGUGUGGGCGUGGACCAAGUACGGCCGCCUGGGCAACCUGGCGGCGAAAAACUCGGACUGGCUACGCGAAUACAUCGUGACGGAACUGGACUAUUUGAAGCGGCAUCCCGAAAUCCUGGACUCGUUCGUGGACAAGCCGAACUACAACCUGCGAAUCUAAUCCUACGAUGCUUUGGUUCCGCAGCUGUCAAUAGUCCCGGUAGGGUAGAGCGUGUGAUACUCGUCUGACGGGAACCCCAUCACCGGGAGCAUGUAUGAGCGCGGGUUGGCGUCCGUCAUCGAUUCAGACGCGAUUUGUCGAGCGGUUAAUCCGGUCGAUCAGGCGGACCAUGACGGUGUCCCCGUUGGGGGUCCUCAAGUUCCGUUCGGACGGAACGUUGAACGCAUCUCGGAUCAUGGCGUCCCAGACCUUUUGCUGCGGCCCGUCAUAGAUGUUCCUGGCCUGCUCCGGAUGGACGUCGGCGUCAUACAGCUUCUGAACCGAACCGAUCUUGUACACGCUGUCGGUUUUGAUCUGCUUGACCCUGUUGUUAAGGUCGUUCUGCGAGGCGAAGGUCUGGUUCAGCGGCAGGAUGACGUCCACGAAGCAGUCUCGCGCGAUCAGCGCCCCGACGUCGUAAUGCCCCUGCUCGUGGUGGAGGAGUUGAUUCUGGAACGGCUGGGUGCCCGAGAACACCCACCGCAUGACCCACGUUUUCGGGCCGGGCGUGAUGGUGACGGUCAUCGUCACGCUGUUUUGGAUCCGGAAGCGCGUCGGGUUCGACCCCGGGACGAUUUCGGGCUGGUAGUUCAAGUCCCACAACGGCUCGGUGCUCGCAUGAACGACCGUCGGCGUGUUCGGCUUGGCCCCGGCCCGCGGUUGUC
rnacentral:misc_RNA from 1 species